GACGAACGCUGGCGGCGUGCUUAACACAUGCAAGUCGAACGGAAAGGCCCCUUUGGGGGUACUUGCGCGGCGAACGGGCGAGUAACUCGCGCGUAACUUGCCCUCGCUUUCCGGUUAACUUCCGGCAACUGGGGCUAAUUCAGGCCAGGUAGCCUUGCCGCAUGGAGGGGGUUGGUUAGCUUCGGCGGUUUUGGAUGGAUUCGCGGCUUAUCAGCUAGUUGGUGGGGUAGUGGCUUACCAAGGCUUUGACGGGUAGCCGGCCUGAGAGGGCGACCGGCCACAUUGGGACUGAGAUACGGCCCAGACUCCUACGGGAGGCAGCAGUGGGGAAUAUUGCACAAUGGGCGGAAGCCUGAUGCAGCAACGCCGCGUGCGGGAUGACGGCCUUCGGGUUGUAAACCGCUUUCAGCAGGGGCGAAGCGUGUGUGACGGUACCUGCAGAAGAAGCACCGGCUAACUACGUG
rnacentral:rRNA from 1 species